CCUACGGGCGGCAGCAGUGAGGAAUAUUGGUCAAUGGACGAGAGUCUGAACCAGCCAAGUAGCGUGAAGGAUGACUGCCCUAUGGGUUGUAAACUUCUUUUAUAUGGGAAUAAAACGUUCCACGUGUGGGAUUUUGUAUGUACCAUAUGAAUAAGGAUCGGCUAACUCCGUGCCAGCAGCCGCGGUAAUACGGAGGAUCCGAGCGUUAUCCGGAUUUAUUGGGUUUAAAGGUUGCGCAGGCGGGCCUUUAAGCCGGCGGUGAAAUCGCGGGGCUCAACCCCGCCGAGCCGUCGGAACUGGGGGCCUUGAGUGCGGCGGAGGCAUGCGGAAUGCGCGGUGUAGCGGUGAAAUGCAUAGAUAUCGCGCAGAACUCCGAUUGCGAAGGCAGCUUACUAAACUGCCACUGACAUUGAUGCUCGAAAGUGUGGGUAUCAAACAGGAUUAGAUACCCUUGUAGUC
rnacentral:rRNA from 1 species